CGGGUCAACAGAGGGAUGCAAAACCGCGAGGUGGAGCGAACCCCUAAAAGCCGUCCCAGUUCAGAUUGCAGUCUGCAACUCGACUGCAUGAAGUCGGAAUCGCUAGUAAUCGCGGAUCAGCAUGCCGCGGUGAAUACGUUCCCGGGCCUUGUACACACCGCCCGUCACACCAUGAGAGUCGGGAACACCCGAAGUCCGUAGCCUAACCGCAAGGAGGGCGCGGCCGAAGGUGGGUUCGAUAAUUGGGGUGAAGUCGUAACAAGGUAAC
rnacentral:rRNA from 1 species